rnacentral:rRNA from 1 species
GACGAACGCUGGCGGCGUGCUUAACACAUGCAAGUCGAACGCUGAAGCCCUUUCGGGGGUGGAUGAGUGGCGAACGGGUGCGUAACACGAGGGUAAUCUGCCCUGUACUUCGGGAUAAGCCUUGGAAACGGGGUUUAAUACCGGAUAGGACCUGUCCUCGCAUGGGGGUGGGUGGAAAGUUCCGGCGGUAUGGGAUGAGCCCGCGGCCUAUCAGCUUGUUGGGGGGGGAGUGGCCUACCAAGGCGACGACGGGUAGCCGGCUUGAGAGGGUGACCGGUCACACUGGGACUGAGACACGGCCCAGACUCCUACGGGAGGCAGCAGUGGGGAAUCUUGCGCAAUGGGCGAGAGCCUGACGCAGCAACGCCGCGUGGGGGAUGACGGCCUUCGGGUUGUAAACCUCUUUCGACAUCGACGAAGGGGCCCUGUUGUGGGGUUUUGACGGUAGGUGUAGAAGAAGCACCGGCUAACUACGUGCCAGCAGCCGCAGUAA